rnacentral:rRNA from 1 species
UACGGAGGGUGCAAGCGUUAUCCGGAUUUACUGGGUUUAAAGGGUGCGUAGGCGGAUAUGUAAGUCAGUGGUGAAAUCUCUAGGCUUAACCUGGAAAUUGCCGUUGAUACUAUAUAUCUUGAAUGUUGUGGAGGUAAGCAGAAUAUGUCAUGUAGCGGUGAAAUGCUUAGAUAUGACAUAGAAUACCUAUUGCGAAGGCAGCUUACUACGCAGAUAUUGACGCUCAUGCACGAAAGCGUGGGGAUCAAACAGG